rnacentral:lncRNA from 1 species
GUCAGCUGGGCUGCUGGCUGCCAGUCCGCCUGCGUUAUCAAAGGCUGCAGACACUGCCCUGCCUGGUGGGAGGCAGGGAAGCUAGCCCUACCUAUCUGAGGCUCUGUGCUGCCUUCAGCCCUCCCACUCAGCCUCCUCCUAGCAGGUGGAGUGCUCCCUGGCCUGCCUGGAGCAGGAGAGGCACCAGAUGCAGGGAUCCCAGGGACAGGCUGAGUGGAGGAGGCCAGACCAGAACAUAGAAGACAAGAGAUGCUGGUGCCAGGCCUGCAGAUCCAAGAGCAGAGCUGGGAUGGAGGCAGGGCCCAGGAGCUUCGGGACCCAGAGUCUCCAUGCCAGCAGCUGAGACCCCUGCCCAGGCUCAGGACACAGUCCGUCUGCAGGAGCAGUUGCUGAUACUCACUGAGGUGAACAAGAGACUCAGAAGAGCUGGGCCAGAGCCACCAGCAACUAGGGGCCUGCUUGGAGCAGCUGCAGCAUCUGCAGGGAGAGCAGAUGGUGUUGGGGGGCCAUUGCAGGCCCUGGAGGCAGAGCACACCUGGCUACUUCAGGAGAAGUACACUCCAGGUCCUGGAGGUACCAGUGCCCCUCAGGAAAGAGCUAGAGGCACAAGAAUCACAUCCCAGGCUUCAUGAGGAGAUGGCUGAAUAUUGGAAGGCACGCUGGCACCGGCUGGCAGUUGCCCUGAAAUUUAAAGAGGAGGAACUGCAGAGACUCCAGAGGCAGAGUGGGACCUGGCCUCCCCAGGGCAGACCGCAGCAGAGACCCCAGGCCAGCCCCCGGAGUCUGCAAAUGAAAGGAGCUGUGGGAGCCCAGGUCUGCCAAGGAGCUGGAGUCUGCAGUGUGGACUCCACCAGAGGCCAAUGGGAGGUGGGUUCAGAGCUGGCUGAGAUGCAGACUGAGCUCGAGAAGGUCUGCAAUGUGCUGGAAGCUUGAGACUCAGAGCUGAGAGCUGAGCAGUGGGCCCUGGAGGCUGCCCAGGACCAGGUGCUCAGCAGCUGCCCCCCUGCACUGUGCUUCCGACUGGCCUGC